GCGGGUGUGGCCGAAUGGCUAAGGCGCCAGCCUUCCAAGUUGGUUUUUUGUGGGUUCGAGUCCCACCACCCGCUCCA
rnacentral:tRNA from 1 species